GUCAGGGCUACCGUGACUCCAAAAGGCCAGGAGAGCCCAGGAGACUGGACGGUCAUGUUUUUCUCAGACUUCAGAGACUACGCCUGUCUCUCCAGAACAGCAUGUGUGACUGAGUGACUGUGUGACACAUUUUUUACCAGUCCAAACUGGACACACAGCAGCAGCAGCAAAUGACUGCCAAUCACUGCGUGCCUAUACAGUAUUAGCCCUGUAAGUUUAUUUUCUACUAAGACCACGUUCACCUGCACUUUGGGUCUUCUGGGUCCUCAGAACGCUGGCUCUCCAAAGGAUUUCCCUGAUUAAUUUCAGAGCUCCUCAGCCCCGCAAAUCACACAGAGGCAAUCGCUCACAGAAGGACACAGUGUAGUCUGUCUUUUCUGCACUCCCCUCCUCCCACCCCAAGGCACCAACCCAAACCUAGUGCUGGCCUGUCGUGCUCAGCAUCUCCCACUAGGGGGAGCCCCUGGAGGGCAGCUGGGGCUGAGCAAUCUGGGAAGCGCUGAAGUUUUCUGCUCCUGUCCUGGACUGGUUUUUUCACUAACCCAACUGUGAGAUUUCUUUGUUGCAAUGUUGGGGUCUGAGAUAACACUGCUGGAGGCUGGAGGCGAGAAACAUAGCCGAGACCAUCUUUUAUUGUGUGUUGUUAUUUAUUAGCGCUGUGAAGCGAGGAAGCGAAAUAACAAAGAGCCCAAAGACCCGAAGACUGCACAGCUCCGGCUUGUAGGCCCUGGAGACAGUCUGGAGUCCUCAGACGAACAGAAAGAAGACAUCAGAAGGGCAACCAGGGGUGCCUGUGGCUGCUGAGUACAGGAGCAGGGCUGUGCGAGUAAGCAGAAUGGAAAGAAAGCAUCGUGCCUUGUAGUCAAACAAAGUGAGGCUUUAUGGCAUCCAUGCUCUCGUCUCUAUUCGCCCAGAGACAGGCACAACGGCACAGAUACCAUGCAACGGAGAGUAACAGGUGCGGGUGACGGAUUUUAAGAAACUGGCAACAUAGAAGCUGGUUUUAAAAUAGUCAUAAGAAGUUGGCUUUUUCAGGUAAUGGCUUUUUUUUUCUCUAUUACCCUCUAAACCUUCC
ensembl:lncRNA